UAACAAAGGAAACCGUCUUUAGACCGUGA
rnacentral:piRNA from 1 species